GCCUAGCCAUGCGAGUCAUAUGUUCUUCGUGAACAUGGCGUACUGCUCAGUAACACGUGGAUAACCUGCCCUUGGGUCCGGCAUAACCCCGGGAAACUGGGGAUAAUUCCGGAUAACGCAUAUAUGCUGGAAUGCUUUCUGCGUAAAAUGGAUUCGUCUGCCCAAGGAUGGGUCUGCGGCCUAUCAGGUAGUAGUGGGUGUAAUGUACCUACUAGCCGACGACGGGUACGGGUUGUGAGAGCAAGAGCCCGGAGAUGGAUUCUGAGACAUGAAUCCAGGCCCUACGGGGCGCAGCAGGCGCGAAAACUUUACAAUGCGGGAAACCGUGAUAAGGGGACACCGAGUGCCAGCAUCAUAUGCUGGCUGUCCGGGUGUGUAAAAUACACCCGUUAGCAAGGGCCGGGCAAGACCGGUGCCAGCCGCCGCGGUAACACCGGCGGCCCGAGUGGUGAUCGUGAUUAUUGGGUCUAAAGGGUCCGUAGCCGGUUUGGUCAGUCCUCCGGGAAAUCUGAUAGCUCAACUAUUAGGCUUUCGGGGGAUACUGCCAGGCUUGGAACCGGGAGAGGUAAGAGGUACUACAGGGGUAGGAGUGAAAUCUUGUAAUCCCUGUGGGACCACCUGUGGCGAAGGCGUCUUACCAGAACGGGUUCGACGGUGAGGGACGAAAGCUGGGGGCACGAACCGGAUUAGAUACCCGGGUAGUCCCAGCCGUAAACGAUGCUCGCUAGGUGUCAGGCAUGGCGCGACCGUGUCUGGUGCCGCAGGGAAGCCGUGAAGCGAGCCACCUGGGAAGUACGGCCGCAAGGCUGAAACUUAAAGGAAUUGGCGGGGGAGCACAACAACGGGUGGAGCCUGCGGUUUAAUUGGACUCAACGCCGGACAACUCACCGGGGGCGACAGCAAUAUGUAGGCCAAGCUGAAGACUUUGCCUGAAUCGC
rnacentral:rRNA from 1 species